ACGCUUCUUUCUGGCUCUCUUCGUUAUUGAUUAACAAAUGGAUGGGGCCUGCGUGUGGAGAUCAGCAGGUGGAAGAAUGCUUACGCAUCAUCAUCUGUGCGCCUAACUGUUCCCGUUUCUGCCGUUGACGUUGCUCCCUCUCCCACCGUUCAUUGUUUCUAGACCCUCACCGCUCGUUCGUGAACGUCUCUAGCCUAGGCAGCAUCGCAUCCAUCCGAGCACACGUACGCAUUCCACCACGUCGCUCGGCAGACUGAGUGAUCCUGGACGACAUAAAUGAAGAUCCUAUGAUAUGUAGAAAUAUUACAUGACAACAAUUAACAGCAAAUUGUAUUCGUUUAAUGUAAUAUAAAACGUCAGGAAAUCUGUUUUAGUGCGUCGUGUGGCCCGGCACAGCCACCUUGCCCAACAAGGUACGAAACAACAGUGCAAAUACGAAUGAUGAUUUCAGCAUUAAUAAUUAUAUAUGCAGCAUGUGUUGCGUCUGUUGUAUGCCAGCUCUACGAUCCUCGCUGCCCGCAAAGGGAGCACAGACAUGGAUGUCUAUUCAUGGGGCGUCUAAUUGGUACAGGAGCAACUGUGAAUUUGCGUAUACCUUGCCUAAGAAUAACCUGCCAUCGAGAUGGAUCUGUCACCAGCAGAGGGUGUCCACAGGAGCCUGGAAGGAACCCUCAUCCCGGGGCCCCUCCUUUUCCCGGAGUUUGGCCGCACUGCUGUGACAUGUGCAGUUGAGUUCAGCCGAAAAUGAAGGGCAGUGGCUGAGCCGAACUGAUGAGGGCAAGAUUGCUACAGCGGGAGCAUGAUUCCGUCGUAUUCGUGACAUCGCUGAAGAAGUGUAAUUUACAAGAAUAAGCUUUUAUCUGUUGCAGUCAGUAAUCUGAAGUUGUUAUUUAAAAUAUAUAUUGUGCAAAACAAGCACGCUACUGCUGCGA
rnacentral:lncRNA from 1 species